AUCGCUUCUCGGCCUCUAUAGGGCUAAGACCGAAUGUAUAGUAUCUGUUCUUAUCAGCUUAAUAUCUGAUAGGGCCCUUUGAUGGGUCUUUUGGUAUUACUGGUAUUUUUGUAAGCUGGUGCCGGACGGGGCUUGCUCCUCCGGUGCCACGGGUUGCCCCGGUAUUGCACUGCAGCCGGGCGCGGCCCAUAUUUA
rnacentral:snRNA from 1 species